rnacentral:tRNA from 1 species
ACUUAAAAUUGCUUCCCAAACAAUGAUUACAAAAAAGAAAACCCCACCCCAAAACCACCCCUCAGA